GUGCUCAUUUAGGAAGCACAUAUUCUAAAAUUGGAAAAAUACAAAAAAGAUUAGCAUGUCCCCUGCACAAGAAUGAUAU
rnacentral:snRNA from 1 species